ensembl:lncRNA
CUCAGGAGGUAGAGCAGGUCAUCUACUGAUCAGCAGUUUGACCCUGGCUCCCCGCUCUGUAUGAAUUUUUGGUAGGAAGUACAGAAAAUAACAAUGUGAUUGUGACAAUGAUAAUUGUUGUAGAAAAAACUUUGAAGGGUCUGGGAGAGUAGAAAAUUAAGAAUCAGUCCUUUUACCAUUAUACUUUAAGUGAGACAAAAUGAUUGAUUGAUAAUACUUUAUUCAUCAUGAGGAAAAUUCUUUUAAAGGCUGCCAGAUAAUCCAGUGCCAUCAUGAGCACCCCGUAGAAUACACCAUAUAUAAAUGCCAAGUGUCGGAAAAAAGUCCCUUCGCAAAUUUAACAUGUAAAAAAACUGUAUUUAAGGCAGUUGCAUUCUUAAGUGUGUCUCUGAAAUCUCAUUUUAGGCUGUUCUUAGCCACAUUGUUUGGCCAGGAGAUGAGGGCGAUGAUGAAGACGAUGAUGAUCCACCUUACCCACAAAGCAUCCAAAUGCAAACAGUGGGAUUUCUGAAGACCUACAUUGAAACAGCCACUCCAUUCCAGCUCAGCCAGCUGAUGAGGUUUUGGGUCGGGUGGGAAAUUCCGACUGGUACCAUGAAGGUUGAAGUAGUCGAAGCAGACUACCUCAUAUCCUCUACAUGUUUUGGAACGUUGCGUGUGCCUGGGCACUUCCACGAGUACAAUGUCUUUUCCAAACAUGUUGAUGAUUGCAUUGCAACUUGUGCCACAGGUUUCGGCCUUAUUUAAAAGCAAUUUGUAGACACUGGAUGUCGAAUAAACUUGCUAAACCAUGCUUGAAAAAUGUUUUACAUAGCCAAAAGUUUCACUGUUACUUAGGCUUAUUGAUUUUUUGUGAAUAUUGUUAUGCGAGUUUAAAUAUAAAAAUUAAAGUUACAGUUCCCACCAUUAACAUUUAUAUUUGAAGUUAAGGAACUAAUGAUUGUGUUAUUUAGGUUUCAGUCAUUGUCAUGCAUCCGAUUUACAUCAUCUCUUUGUUUGAAGAAGUUUCCUGGAUUACACGAUUAAUACCAAAGCUGUAUUAAAUGUUACACACAGUCCAAUGAUGUUGAAUAUAAUGUUAAUAAAAAUCUGCCACACUGUCA